rnacentral:rRNA from 1 species
GAGUUUGAUCCUGGCUCAGAACGAACGCUGGCGGCAGGCUUAACACAUGCAAGUCGAGCGCCCCGCAAGGGGGAGCGGCAGACGGGUGAGUAACGCGUGGGAAUCUACCUAGCUCUACGGGAUAACCCAGGGAAACUUGGACUAAUACCGUAUACGCCCCCUCGGGGGGAAAGAUUUAUCGGAGUUGGAUGAGCCCGCGUUGGAUUAGCUAGUUGGUGGGGUAAUGGCCUACCAAGGCGACGAUCCAUAGCUGGUCUGAGAGGAUGAUCAGCCACACUGGGACUGAGACACGGCCCAGACUCCUACGGGAGGCAGCAGUGGGGAAUAUUGGACAAUGGGCGAAAAGCCUGAUCCAGCCAUGCCGCGUGAGUGAUGAAGGCCCUAGGGUUGUAAAGCUCUUUUACCGGUGAAGAUAAUGACGGUAACCGGAGAAGAA